GACGAACGCUGGCGGCGUGCUUAACACAUGCAAGUCGAACGAAGAGCGAUGGAAGCUUGCUUCUCUCAAUCUUAGUGGCGAACGGGUGAGUAACGCGUAAUCAACCUGCCCUUCAGAGGGGGACAACAGUUGGAAACGACUUCUAAUACCGCAUACGAUCUAAUCUCGGCAUUGAGGAUAGAUGAAAGGUGGCCUUUACAUGUAAGGUAUCACUGAAGGUGGGGUUUGGGUCUGAUUAGGUAGGUGGUGGGGUAAAGGCCCAACAAGGGGAUGAUCAGUAGCCGGUCUGGAAGGAGGAACGGCCACAUUGGGACUGAGACACGGCCCAGACUCCUACGGGAGGCAGCAGUGGGGAAUCUUCCGCAAUGGACGAAAGUCUGACGGAGCAACGCCGCGUGAGUGAUGACGGCCUUCGGGUUGGAAAGCUCUGUUAAUCGGGACGAAAGGCCUUCUUGCGAAUAGUGAGAAGGAUUGACGGUACCGGAAUAGAAAGCCACGGCUAACUACGUG
rnacentral:rRNA from 1 species